rnacentral:rRNA from 1 species
GAACGCUGGCGGCAUGCUUUACACAUGCAAGUCGAACGGCAGCGAGGAGAAGCUUGCUUCUCUGUCGGCGAGUGGCGAACGGGUGAGUAUAGCAUCGGAACGUGCCAAGUAGUGGGGGAUAACCAAACGAAAGUUUGGCUAAUACCGCGUAAGCUCUAAGGAGGAAAGUAGGGGACCUAAAUAAGGCCUUACGCUAUUUGAUCGGCCGAUGUCGGAUUAGCUAGUUGGUGGGGUAAUGGCUCACCAAGGCAAUGAUCCGUAGCGGGUCUGAGAGGACGAUCCGCCACACUGGGACUGAGACACGGCCCAGACUCCUACGGGAGGCAGCAGUGGGGAAUUUUGGACAAUGGGGGAAACCCUGACCCAGCCAUGCCGCGUGUAUGAAGAAGGCCUUAGGGUUGUAAAGUACUUUUGUUAGGGAAGAAAAGCUAGUUUUUAAUAAAAAUUAGUGAUGACGGUACCUAAAGAAUAAGCACCGGCUAACUACGUGCCAGCAGCCGCGGUAAUACGUAGGGUGCAAGCGUUAAUCGGAAUUAUUGGGCGUAAAGCGAGUGCAGACGGUUACUUAAGCCAGAUGUGAAAUCCCCAAGCUUAACUUGGGACGUGCAUUUGGAACUGGGUGACUAGAGUGUGUCAGAGGGAGGUAGAAUUCCACAUGUAGCGGUGGAAUGCGUAGAGAUGUGGAGGAAUACCGAUGGCGAAGGCAGCCUCCUGGGAUAACACUGACGUUGAGGCUCGAAAGCGUGGGGAGCAAACAGGAUUAGAUACCCUGGUAGUCCACGCCCUAAACGAUGACAAUUAGCUGUUGGGCUUUGAAAGGCUUAGUAGCGAAGCUAACGCGAGAAAUUGUCCGCCUGGGGAGUACGGUCGCAAGGUUA